rnacentral:rRNA from 1 species
AUGUCCAAAAUAACUCGUAAAGAGGAUAAGGAAGGCAACUUUUUGUUCCAAUUUCAAAACAAGACGAAUCUGCUUUUAACAUGUGAACUUUGUAAUAAUAUCACAGACACACUAGCGGCAAGCUUACGUGUUCUUAAAUGCUACAAGGCCCAGAGAAGGGAAAUUGUCGAAGCCACAAGAAUCACCAACACCAAUGAAGAACCAUUUAAAGCAGUGCCAAAGAAAACUUCCGCUCAAAUACUUUCCAAGACAACUAACUUGUUUUCUGCGGGAACAAAAUUAAAGUUAGUACCUCCAAAACUCAAAAUGCAGUAA